rnacentral:rRNA from 1 species
AUACGUAGGUGGCUAGCGUUAUCCGGAUUUACUGGGCGUAAAGAGUGCGCAGGCGGCCUUUCAAGUCAGGUGUAAAAUCUCCCGGCUCAACUGGGAGGGACCAUCUGAUACUGUUGGGCUAGAGUGCAGCAUAGGAAAGCGGAAUUCCCGGUGUAGUGGUGGAAUGCGUAGAUAUCGGGAGGAACACCAGUGGCGAAAGCGGCUUUCUGGGCUGUUACUGACGCUGUUGCACGAAAGCGUGGGGAGCAAACAGGAUUAGAUACCCUGGUAGUCCACGCUGUAAACUAUGGACACUGGGUACAGGGAGUAUCGACCCUCUCUGUGCCGAAGCUAACGCGUUAAGUGUCCCGUCUGGGGACUACGGCCGCAAGGUUAAA